rnacentral:rRNA from 1 species
UACGUAGGGGGCAAGCGUUGUCCGGAAUGACUGGGCGUAAAGGGAGUGUAGGCGGCCUUGCAAGUUAGAUGUGAAAUCCUACGGCUUAACCGUAGAACUGCAUCUAAAACUGGUAAGCUGGAGUGCAGGAGAGGUGAGUGGAAUUCCUAGUGUAGCGGUGGAAUGCGUAGAUAUUAGGAGGAACACCAGAGGCGAAGGCGACUCACUGGACUGUAACUGACGCUGAGGCUCGAAAGUGCGGGUAUCGAACAGG